rnacentral:rRNA from 1 species
AUUGAACGCUGGCGGCAGGCCUAACACAUGCAAGUCGAGCGGAGCGGCGGACGGGUGAGUAAUGCCUAUGAAUCUGCCUGGUCGUGGGGGAUAGCGUCCGGCAACGGGCGCUGAUACCUCAUCCUCUCAGAUGAGCCUAGGUCGGAUUAGCUAGUUGGUGGGGUAAAGGCCUACCAAGGCGACGAUCCGUAACUGGUCUGAGAGGAUGAUCAGUCACACUGGAACUGAGACACGGUCCAGACUCCUACGGGAGGCAGCAGUGGGGAAUAUUGGACAAUGGGCGAAAGCCUGAUCCAGCCAUGCCGCGUGUGUGAAGAAGGCCUUCGGGUUGUAAAGCACUUUAAGUUGGGAGGCGUUACCAGCAGAAUAAGCACCGGCUAACUACGUGCCAGCAGCCGCGGUAAUUC